rnacentral:rRNA from 1 species
AAAUUGAAGAGUUUGAUCAUGGCUCAGAUUGAACGCUGGCGGCAGGCCUAACACAUGCAAGUCGAACGGUAACAGGAAGCAGCUUGCUGCUUUGCUGACGAGUGGCGGACGGGUGAGUAAUGUCUGGGAAACUGCCCGAUGGAGGGGGAUAACUACUGGAAA